AAUGAACGCUGGCGGCAUGCCUAACACAUGCAAGUCGAACGAGACCUCCGGGUCUAGUGGCGCACGGGUGUGUCACGCGUGGGAACCUGCCCUUAGGUUCGGCAUACCUCUCCGAAAGGGGUGCUAAUACCGGAUCAUGUCUUCGGCCCAAAGAUUUAUCGCCUUUGGAUGGGCCAGCGUUGGAUUAGCUAGUUGGUAGGGUAAAAGCCUACUAAGGCGAGGAUCCAUAGCUGGUCUGAGAGGAAGAUCAGCAACUCUGGGAGUCGGACCCGGCCGAGACUCCUACGGAAUGCAGGAGUGGGGAAUAGUGGAAAGCGGGGGGAGGCCUGAUCCAGCAAGGCCGCGAGAGUGAUGAAGGCCGGAGGGUUGUAAAGCGCUUGUACCCGGGAUGAUAAUGACAGUACCGGGAGAAUAAGCUCCGGCUAACUCCGUG
rnacentral:rRNA from 1 species